CCUACGGGAGGCAGCAGUCGAGAAUCAUUCACAAUGGGGGAAACCCUGAUGGUGCGACGCCGCGUGGGGGAAUGAAGGUCUUCGGAUUGUAAACCCCUGUCAUGUGGGAGCAAAUUAAAAAGAUAGUACCACAAGAGGAAGAGACGGCUAACUCUGUGCCAGCAGCCGCGGUAAUACAGAGGUCUCAAGCGUUGUUCGGAAUCACUGGGCGUAAAGCGUGCGUAGGCUGUUUCGUAAGUCGUGUGUGAAAGGCGCGGGCUCAACCCGCGGACGGCACAUGAUACUGCGAGACUAGAGUAAUGGAGGGGGAACCGGAAUUCUCGGUGUAGCAGUGAAAUGCGUAGAUAUCGAGAGGAACACUCGUGGCGAAGGCGGGUUCCUAGACAUUAACUGACGCUGAGGCACGAAGGCCAGGGGAGCGAAAGGGAUUAGAUACCCCUGUAGUC
rnacentral:rRNA from 1 species